GAUGAACGCUGGCGGCGUGCCUAAUACAUGCAAGUCGAGCGAACGGACGAGAAGCUUGCUUCUCUGAUGUUAGCGGCGGACGGGUGAGUAACACGUGGAUAACCUACCUAUAAGACUGGGAUAACUUCGGGAAACCGGAACUAAUACCGGAUGAUAUUUUGAACCGCAUGGUUCAAAAGUGAAAGACGGUCUUGCUGUCACUUAUAGAUGGAUCCGCGCUGCAUUAGCUAGUUGGUAAGGUAACGGCUUACCAAGGCAACGAUGCAUAGCCGACCUGAGAGGGUGAUCGGCCACACUGGAACUGAGACACGGUCCAGACUCCUACGGGAGGCAGCAGUAGGGAAUCUUCCGCAAUGGGCGAAAGCCUGACGGAGCAACGCCGCGUGAGUGAUGAAGGCCUUCGGAUCGUAAAACUCUGUUAUUAGGGAAGAACAUAUGUGUAAGUAACUGUGCACAUCUUGACGGUACCUAAUCAGAAAGCCACGGCUAACUACGUG
rnacentral:rRNA from 1 species